AGUGAACGCUGGCGGUAGGCCUAACACAUGCAAGUCGAACGGCAGCACAGUAAGAGCUUGCUCUUACGGGUGGCGAGUGGCGGACGGGUGAGGAAUACAUCGGACUCUACUUUUUCGUGGGGGUUAACGUAGGGCAACUUACUCUAAUACCGCAUACGACCUACGGGUUUAAGCAUGGGAUCUUCGGACCUUUCGCGAUUUAUUGAUCCGAUGUCGGAUUAGCUAGUUGGCGUGGUAAAGGCCCACCAAGGCGACGAUCCGUAGCUGGUCUGAGAGGAUGAUCAGCAACACUGGAACUGAGACACGGUCCAGACUCCUACGGGAGGCAGCAGUGGGGAAUAUUGGACAAUGGGCGCAAGCAUGAUCCAGCCAUACCGCGUGGGAGAAGAAGGACUUCGGGUUGUAAAGCACUUUUGUUGGGAAAGAAAAGAAGCAGGUUAAUACCCCGCUGUUCUGACGGUACCCAAAGAAUAAGCACCGGCUAACUUCGUG
rnacentral:rRNA from 1 species